rnacentral:lncRNA from 1 species
UGUAUUUUCUCCUUGUAUUUAACUAUAAUUAGCCUUUAACUAGCUUGGUUAGAUUAGAGAUAGACAGUUACAAUUUCUCAACUGUUCUUUGGUUAGUUAAGCUUACUUUACCAAUACCGACGACGUAUAGGUUACACUACUUUUGUGCAUUUUAUCAAAUUGAUCAAUGAAUUCCAUCUUUUCCUUUAGUUCUUCUCAGCAUACCAAGAGAUACCAUUCUCCCAUCUAAUUUUGAUUCAACUUGGAGAAACCAAUCAAAAGGAUCCUCCUCCUCCCUAAGAAUGCACAGGUUUCAUUUUAUUGGUUCAAAUCAGCAUCUAUUGACAGAAAAAUCAACUACUAUUCUAUAUCCAUCAAUUACAUCACAAUCACACGAAUGAUUAUACCAUGUCACAAAAAUCAACUACCAUUCCACAUCACAAUCACACGAAUUUGAAUAUGUCAACCUAGC